AAAAUACAAAGAUUGACAUUGCAAGUUCUUAAACCGCUCCCAUGCUUCAUACAAAGAUUCACUAUGGUGUUGAGUGAAACUCGUAAUCUCUUGUCUAAAUUU